CUACGGGGCGCUCCAGUGAGGAAUAUUGCACAAUGGAGGAAACUCUGAUGCAGCAACGCCGCGUGGAGGAUGACGCAUUUCGGUGUGUAAACUCCUUUUAUGUGUCAAGAAAAUGACGGUAGCAUAUGAAUAAGCACCGGCUAGACUCCGUGCCAGCAGCCGCGGUAAUACGGAGGGUGCAAGCGUUACUCGGAAUCACUGGGCGUAAAGGACGCGUAGGCGGGAUAUCAAGUCAGGUGUGAAAUCCUACAGCUUAACUGUAGAACUGCACUUGAAACUGGUAACCUAGAGUAUGGGAGGGGGAGGUGGAAUUAGUGGUGUAGGGGUAAAAUCCGUAGAUAUCACUAGGAAUACCUAAAGCGAAGGCGAUCUCCUGGAACAUAACUGACGCUAAGGCGUGAAAGCGUGGGGAGCAAACAGGAUUAGAUACCCCCGUAGUC
rnacentral:rRNA from 1 species